AUUGAACGCUGGCGGCAUGCUUUACACAUGCAAGUCGAACGGUAACAGGCCGCAAGGUGCUGACGAGUGGCGAACGGGUGCGUAAUGCAACGGAACGUGCCCAGUCGUGGGGGAUAACUACUCGAAAGAGUAGCUAAUACCUCAUACGAUCUAUGGAUGAAAGCGGGGGACCGUAAGGCCUCGCGCGAUUGGAGCGGCCGAUGUCAGAUUAGGUAGUUGGUGGGGUAAAGGCUCACCAAGGCAACGAUCUGUAGCUGGUCUGAGAGGACGACCAGCCACACUGGGACUGAGACACGGCCCAGACUCCUACGGGAGGCAGCAGUGGGGAAUUUUGGACAAUGGGCGCAAGCCUGAUCCAGCAAUGCCGCGUGCAGGAAGAAGGCCUUCGGGUUGUAAACUGCUUUUGUACGGAACGAAACGGCUCUGGUUAAUACCCGCAGCUAAUGACGGUACCGUAAGAAUAAGCACCGGCUAACUACGUG
rnacentral:rRNA from 1 species